CUGCGAGGGUGCUGAGGUUUCCAUUGGUUAAUUACUCGACUAUGACCUUCUUCCAUAGGCAAAGGAGAACUCUGAUCAGAAGGCUGCACAACACUAUCACCACUUACUGCCUGAACUGAGCUCACAUCUAGAACCAGCUGAGAUGAAUUCAACUUCUCCUGUUGCAUACGGACUUUAGCAGGAUUACUAUCAUUUUGCAC
rnacentral:lncRNA from 1 species